GAAGAAACAAUUUCGAUCUGAGCUACCGAAAUGGAGUUUUGGUACUCAUAAGGUGGUUGUCCAAUUUUUUGCGGAAAAUUGGAAACUGGUUUGGUAUUUCAGACAUCUGCGACAAUCGCACCGUUAAAGUUUUCUGAAAUUUUGAUAUGUUGUAGAUACUGAGCAGACUAACAACUUUCAAGAAGAAAGUAUUUCAAUCCGAGGUUCGCAAGUUGGAGUUCCGAGGCUGUUUACAUGGCUGUCAAAUUCUCUACGAAUUUUGAGUAUGUACUCUUUUGCUUCUGCAAAGGAUGAUAUACAGUCAUACAACAAUAUAUAUAGUUGCUUCAAGAAAAUCAAUUGUACUGAGAUUUGAAGAUGAAAUGAAAAAGUUUUCUUAUAUGUGAGAUUCCAGUUGAAGGAGGUGAACAGGAUUUGUGGCGUUGUGCUUUCCACUGAUAUGAGAGCUUCUCAUGCUGAUAACGUGUUGUAAAAUCGACGGUGUGUGCAGUGGAAUAAAUAAACAAGACACAAAAUUUACGAGGUUCCUCUAUAGUCAGUGUGACUGGAGUACGUCCUCGGGGCAGCAGUGGUGCUUUCAUUAUAAUCUGAAAUAAUAAGAGUACUAAGAUAACUCACUCUAUUAUCUCCUCUCCUCUUCCUCUCUUUUCUCUCUUCCUUUCUUCCUUCUAUCUCUCCCAUGAACCUCUCAC
rnacentral:lncRNA from 1 species